rnacentral:rRNA from 1 species
UACGUAGGGACCAAGCGCUGUUCGGAUUUACUGGGCGUAAAGGGCGCGUAGGCGGCGCGGUAAGUCAGUUGUGAAAUCUCUGAGCUUAACUCAGAACGGCCAAGUGAUACUGCAGUGCUAGAGUGUGGAAGGGGCAAUCGGAAUUCUUGGUGUAGCGGUGAAAUGCGUAGAUAUCAAGAGGAACACCUGAGGUGAAGACGGGUUGCUGGGCCAACACUGACGCUGAGGCGCGAAAGCCAGGGGAGCAAACGGG